rnacentral:rRNA from 1 species
AAUGAACGCUGGCGGCGUGCCUAACACAUGCAAGUCGAGCGAGAAAGUUCCUUCGGGAAUGAGUACAGCGGCGGACGGGUGAGUAACACGUAAGAAUCUGCCCUAUAGUGAAGAAUACCCUCGAGAAAUUGAGGUUAAUACUGCAUAAGUCCCUACGGGGAGAAAGACGUCUUUUAUGUCGUCGCUAUAGGAUGAGCUUGCGGACUAUCAGCUUGUUGGUGAGGUAAAGGCUCACCAAGGCUAUGACGGUUAACCGGCCUGAGAGGGUGUACGGUCACAUAGGCACUGAGAUACGGGCCUGACUCCUACGGGAGGCAGCAGUGGGGAAUAUUGCGCAAUGGGCGAAAGCCUGACGCAGCGACGCCGCGUGGAGGAUGAAGGUCUUAGGAUUGUAAACUCCUGUCAGAUGGAAAGAAAGGCUCAUGUCUAAUAAACGUGAGAUAUGACGGUACCAU